rnacentral:rRNA from 1 species
UAAGGAAUAUUGGUCAAUGGAGGCAACUCUGAACCAGCCAUUCCGCGUGCAGGAAGACGGCCCUCUGGGUUGUAAACUGCUUUUAUUCGGGAAUAAACCUAUCUACGUGUAGAUAGCUGAAUGUACCGAAGGAAUAGGGAUCGGCUAACUCCGUGCCAGCAGCCGCGGUAAUACGGAGGAUCCAAGCGUUAUCCGGAUUUAUUGGGCUUAAAGGGUGCGUAGGCGGCCUAUUAAGUCAGGGGUGAAAGACGGUAGCUCAACUAUCGCAGUGCCCUUGAUACUGAUGAGCUUGAAUGAACUAGAGGUAGGCGGAAUGUGAAAAGUAGCGGUGAAAUGCAUAGAUAUGUCACAGAACACCGAUUGCGAAGGCAGCUUACUAUGGUUUUAUUGACGCUGAAGCACGAAAGCGUGGGGAGCAAACA